rnacentral:sRNA from 1 species
UGGUAGAUGCACCCUGAUAAAUAACUCCCCUAGCUGGCUGGUACCCACUAGGGGAUUUUUUU